CGGACGGGUGGCAGCUCUUCGGAGACACGUUCUUCAGACUGAAGGGCAAGGUUCCACGGUGAUGGGAAAGCAAAAUGAUUCAAAUUCCAGCUCUUUGCCAUCACCAUGAGAAGAAUAUACCCUGGCUAGCUACUGGCUCCAAAAGGAGAAUGGAGAAUACGUAAAGCCAGAACCACCCCAGCAAACCCAAAGACGAAUGAUCAUCUUAAGAGUUUGGUGCUGUUAUUGCCCUUGCCUGACUGGGCCAGUUGUCAUGUCUGCAUUCCUUCCUGUGUAAGAUUACGCUUCAUAAUGUGGAUGGGCCUCAUCCAGUCAGCUGAAGACUUGAAUAGAACAAGAGACAGACCUCCCCCAAGUAAGAGGGAAUUCUGCCUUGACUUGAACUGCAGCAUUGACUCUUCCCUGAGUCUCCAGCCUCCUGGCCCACCCUGCAGAUUUUGGACUUGUUAACCUCCAUAAUUAGAACUGCAGCUGGAAGACAAGUUGACAGUCAUAUGUCCCACUUCAAUAACUAAUCCAUAUCAUGGAUUUUUCUAGGUGACUCUUCUACAUUGAGGCUGUAAAAUCUGUAAACUCCUUUCCAUGAAGAAUCAUACCUUACUUAUAUAUUUGGAAUGCACAUAGCUGCAGAAAUCAACUCUUCCUUGUCAUCGGUGACCCCAACCCGAAGUAAUGUCUCUUUUUCCUAAUUGGAAAGUUGCUUGGAGGAUCCAAGGAGCUAAGGUACAAGGAGAGUGUCUGACAUAACAUUAGCACUAUAUGAGCUUUAGCUCUAUGGGUUUCAUUUAUAGAAACUCACAAUGUCUGUAAUGCACAGAAAGGUUAUGUACUCAAGGGUACCUGGUGGGUAAGUGGCAAAGUGGAAUGGAGACUUGGGCCUUUAACUCUUCAUCAGAAUUUGUAACAGAGCUCUCUAAAUGAUUGCAUCUGUCCCACGGUCCCUCUGACCCUGGCUGUCUGGCUAAUGAAAUAUGCAUAAAGGACACUCUGGAAAAUUAGACCAUUUAUUAUUAGCUAGAGCUUAGUUCUGCUCUUUGAGAAAAAAAAAUUGAUUUUCUAGUUUAAGUUCUAAAUUAAAAUUAGAUAAGCAAGUUUCUUGGUCCUUUACUUUGAU